GACGAACGCUGGCGGCGUGCUUAACACAUGCAAGUCGAACGAUGAAGCCUAGCUUGCUAGGUGGAUUAGUGGCGAACGGGUGAGUAAUACGUGAGUAACCUACCUUUAACUCCGGGAUAAGCCCGGGAAACUGGGUCUAAUACCGGAUACGACCAAUCUCCGCAUGGGGUGUUGGUGGAAAGCGUUAUGUAGUGGUUAUAGAUGGGCUCACGGCCUAUCAGCUUGUUGGUGAGGUAACGGCUCACCAAGGCGACGACGGGUAGCCGGCCUGAGAGGGUGACCGGCCACACUGGGACUGAGACACGGCCCAGACUCCUACGGGAGGCAGCAGUGGGGAAUAUUGCACAAUGGGCGCAAGCCUGAUGCAGCGACGCCGCGUGAGGGAUGACGGCCUUCGGGUUGUAAACCUCUGUUAGCAGGGAAGAAGAGAAAUUGACGGUACCUGCAGAGAAAGCGCCGGCUAACUACGUGC
rnacentral:rRNA from 1 species